rnacentral:rRNA from 1 species
AAUCAACGCUGGCGGCGUGCCUAACACAUGCAAGUCGAACGCGAAAGUGGAGCAAUCCAUGAGUAGAGUGGCAAACGGGUGAGUAACACGUGGGCGACCUACCUCAGAGUGGGGGAUAACCUUCCGAAAGGAGGGCUAAUACCGCAUGACAUCCCGUGUUUGGAUACACGGAGAUCAAAGCCGGGGAUCGCAAGACCUGGCGCUUGGAGAGGGGCCCGCGUCCGAUUAGCUAGUUGGUGAGGUAACGGCU